rnacentral:rRNA from 1 species
AGCCAUGCGAGUCAUAUGUUCUUCGUGAACAUGGCGUACUGCUCAGUAACACGUGGAUAACCUGCCCUUGGGUCCGGCAUAACCCCGGGAAACUGGGGAUAAUUCCGGAUAACGCAUAUAUGCUGGAAUGCUUUCUGCGUAAAAUGGAUUCGUCUGCCCAAGGAUGGGUCUGCGGCCUAUCAGGUAGUAGUGGGUGUAAUGUACCUACUAGCCGACGACGGGUACGGGUUGUGAGAGCAAGAGCCCGGAGAUGGAUUCUGAGACAUGAAUCCAGGCCCUACGGGGCGCAGCAGGCGCGAAAACUUUACAAUGCGGGAAACCGUGAUAAGGGGACACCGAGUGCCAGCAUCAUAUGCUGGCUGUCCGGGUGUGUAAAAUACACCCGUUAGCAAGGGCCGGGCAAGACCGGUGCCAGCCGCCGCGGUAACACCGGCGGCCCGAGUGGUGAUCGUGAUUAUUGGGUCUAAAGGGUCCGUAGCCGGUUUGGUCAGUCCUCCGGGAAAUCUGAUAGCUCAACUAUUAGGCUUUCGGGGGAUACUGCCAGGCUUGGAACCGGGAGAGGUAAGAGGUACUACAGGGGUAGGAGUGAAAUCUUGUAAUCCCUGUGGGACCACCUGUGGCGAAGGCGUCUUACCAGAACGGGUUCGACGGUGAGGGACGAAAGCUGGGGGCACGAACCGGAUUAGAUACCCGGGUAGUCCCAGCCGUAAACGAUGCUCGCUAGGUGUCAGGCAUGGCGCGACCGUGUCUGGUGCCGCAGGGAAGCCGUGAAGCGAGCCACCUGGGAAGUACGGCCGCAAGGCUGAAACUUAAAGGAAUUGGCGGGGGAGCACAACAACGGGUGGAGCCUGCGGUUUAAUUGGACUCAACGCCGGACAACUCACCGGGGGCGACAGCAAUAUGUAGGCCAGGCUGAAGACUUUGCCUG